AACGGGAAUGCAGUAUUUUAAUUGAUCACAGAGUUCAGUACGAGACGACGAGGCUCUUGUUAAGCCCGGUCCUGGAGGGGAUCAUUCAUUUGGACCUGAGGACUGGGAUGAGGCGGACUACGGUGAGGUCAGGAAAAUCCUAAUUGUUGCGGCCAAUCCCCCCAUCAUUCGAUCACCGAUAUCGUACAUCUACAAAAAAGAGUCCUUGCAGACCGAAAAUAUCUCCGAUGAAGACCUUCCGACGGUCAAGUCAG
rnacentral:lncRNA from 1 species